rnacentral:tRNA from 1 species
GCGGAGGGCGGAUUGGCGUUCGUCGCCGGCGACGAUGCCGCCGCGCUGGUGGCGUCGCUGCCGGCGGCGGACAGUGCCAUGCUGUUGCUCAGCG